AUAAAUGAGUUCACAUUUAUGUUCUGGUUCCCAGCGCGAGUGUAUCUCUAUCCACGUGGGGCAGGCGGGUGUCCAGAUUGGCAAUGCCUGCUGGGAACUGUACUGCCUUGAACACGGAAUUCAGCCCGAUGGACAAAUGCCAAGUGACAAAACCAUUGGUGGCGGCGAUGACUCCUUCAACACGUUCUUCAGCGAGACAGGGGCUGGCAAGCACGUGCCCAGAGCAGUGUUUGUGGACCUGGAGCCCACUGUAGUGGAUGAAGUGCGCACAGGGACCUAUAGGCAGCUUUUCCACCCAGAGCAGCUGAUCACCGGGAAGGAAGACGCAGCCAAUAAUUAUGCCAGAGGCCAUUACACCAUCGGCAAGGAGAUUGUGGACCUGGUCCUGGACCGGAUCCGCAAACUGGCAGAUCUGUGCACAGGACUGCAGGGCUUCCUCAUCUUCCACAGCUUCGGGGGUGGCACCGGCUCUGGGUUCGCAUCUCUGCUCAUGGAGCGGCUGUCGGUGGACUACGGCAAGAAAUCCAAGCUGGAAUUUGCCAUCUACCCAGCCCCCCAGGUUUCCACGGCCGUGGUGGAGCCCUACAACUCCAUCCUGACCACUCACACGACCCUGGAGCAUUCUGACUGUGCCUUCAUGGUGGACAACGAAGCCAUCUAUGACAUAUGUCGGCGCAACCUGGACAUCGAGCGUCCCACAUACACCAACCUCAACCGUCUGAUUGGGCAGAUCGUGUCUUCCAUCACGGCUUCCUUGCGGUUUGAUGGGGCCCUGAAUGUGGACUUGACAGAAUUCCAGACCAACCUGGUGCCGUACCCCCGCAUCCACUUCCCCCUGGCCACUACGCCCCAGUCAUCUCAGCCGAAAAGGCCUAUCACGAGCAGCUGUCCGUGGCUGAGAUCACCAAUGCCUGCUUUGAGCCUGCCAAUCAGAUGGUCAAGUGUGAUCCUCGCCAUGGCAAGUACAUGGCCUGCUGCAUGUUGUACAGGGGGGAUGUGGUCCCCAAAGAUGUCAACGCGGCCAUCGCCACCAUCAAGACCAAGCGUACCAUCCAGUUUGUGGACUGGUGUCCAACUGGAUUUAAGGUAAGAGUGGAAGAAGUUGGAUCCUUGUACCCGUCAGCCAGCAGCAGGCCUACAGAAUAA